GGCGGCACGUUUCAUGUAGCCAUCAUCUCAGGCACAGAUGACCCCAGUCACGAACCUUGUUUUCAACACUUUUUCAUUUUUAUAUGCUCGUCACUUUCUAGGCGCUCAGAUUCCGUCAAAGCCACCCCGUAACUGGUGCAGAGGAAACUGUGACCGAGACCGUGUAAGUGCAGAGGAAAAAUAUUCAUUGGCGGUAGUGAAGGAAUGCGACAAAAUGACGCUGGUGCAAAUUCUCGUCGCUUGUGUACUGGUUGCAACGAUAAAACGAGAGGACGGGGUGCAAGGACGCAGUUCCCGGGAAAUCUACGACCAGGGCGACGAUGAAAGACGCGUUCCUGGGCCUUUCGGGCAAAUUCCCACAGAUCAACCAUGUUCCCAACCUGGCCAAAAGAGAACAUUUUGCAACAAGAAGAUGCCUUGCCCCGAAGACUGCGUCUGUGUACAGUUUGAGCAAGACCCUGUAGGUAUCUGCACACCAAGGACUUGAUACAUAAUACAGCAACGAAACAUUACAACUUACCGAAUAAAACGGCCUAUUUAGCAACA